CUCUUUAUGAAAAUAAUAUAAAGUAGGGCCUGCCCACUGAAAUUUUGAAGGGCCGCAGUAUUUUGACUGUGCAAAGGUAGCAUAAUCAUUAGUUUUUUAAUUGGAAGCUUGUAUGAAUGGUUUGAUGAGAAAAUGACUGUUUCAUUUUUAAUUUAUAGAAUUUUAUUUUUAAGUAAAAAAGCUUAAAUAUUAUUUAAAGACGAGAAGACCCUAUAGAGUUUAACUGAAUUUAUUAAUUAAAUAUUUAGAAUAUUAAAGUUUAAAUUUUUAAAUAAGUUUUGUUGGGGUGACAGAAAAAUUAAAUAAACUUUUUUUUAAUUAUUACAAUUAUAAUUGAACAUUUGAUCCAUAAAAUUGAUUAAAAGAUUAAAUUACCUUAGGGAUAACAGCGUAAUCUUUUUUGAGAGUUCUUAUUAAAAAAAGGGGUUGCGACCUCGAUGUUGGAUUAAAAUUUAUUUUUGGUGCAGAAGCUGAAAAAUUAGGUCUGUUCGACCUUUAAAAUUUUACAUGAUCUGAGUUUAAACCGGUGUGAGCCAGGUUGGUUUCUAUCUUAAAUAAAAUUAAUAUUUUAGUACGAAAGGAUUAAAUAUUAUAUUUAUAAUAUAAUUUUAUAGAAUUUUAUUUUGGCAGAUUAGUGCGAAGGAUUUAGAAUCUUUUCAUGUAUUUAGAUACAGGUAAAAAUUGAUUUAAUUUUAAGUUUUUUAAAUUUUUUAAUUUUAAUUAUUGGGAUUUUGGU
rnacentral:rRNA from 1 species